rnacentral:lncRNA from 1 species
GGCCACAAUAAAAUACUGAGCAUGCUGUCCCUGUUUUUUGUUGUCAUACUCUCAGUGCCUGCAUAUGGGAUGCUGUGUCUUCAUUGCAGCCUAACUCUGAGGUAGGAGAUCUGUGCUGUGCAGAGUAUUCAUCUGGACGUGGUAGCUGUGCUUGCACACUGCCAGGCUCAGAGCCUGCACCCACUCCAGCUCCUCAGGGAACCCACUGAUCUGCAGCUGUGAAUCUACACUCUAACACUUUGCAAACUACA